UACGUAGGGUGCAAGCGUUAAUCGGAAUUACUGGGCGUAAAGCGUGCGCAGGCGGCUUUGUAAGACAGAUGUGAAAUCCCCGGGCUCAACCUGGGAACUGCAUUUGUGACUGCAUGGCUAGAGUGCGGCAGAGGGGGAUGGAAUUCCGCGUGUAGCAGUGAAAUGCGUAGAUAUGCGGAGGAACACCGAUGGCGAAGGCAAUCCCCUGGGCCUGCACUGACGCUCAUGCGCGAAAGCGUGGGGAGCAAACAGG
rnacentral:rRNA from 1 species